ensembl:rRNA 5S_rRNA 5S ribosomal RNA
GUCUAUGGCCACACCACCCUGAACGCGCCCAAUUUCGUCUGAUCUCGGAAGCUACCUGGGUUGGGCCUGCUUAGUACUUGGAUGGGAGACCAGCAGAUGGAAGCGUUCCUUCUCUCAUUGCCU